rnacentral:rRNA from 1 species
UACGUAGGCAGCAAGCGUUGUUCGGAGUUACUGGGCGUAAAGGGUGCGUAGGCGGUUGUUUAAGUUUGGUGUGAAAUCUCCCGGCUCAACUGGGAGGGUGCGCCGAAUACUGAAUGACUAGAGUGCGGGAGAGGAUAGUGGAAUUCCUGGUGUAGCGGUGAAAUGCGUAGAUAUCUGGAGGAACACCGGUGGCGAAGGCGGCGUCCUGGACCAACACUGACACUGAUGAGCGAAAGCCAGGGGAGCAAACGGG